ACUGCUUCCUGUUCCCAGUCCUGCUCUAUCUAGUGGUCUCCACUGUGAUUGUGCUGUUACAAUCAGAAGGGCUUUGUGGCUAUCUUUCUCUGAACAGAGGCUCAGCACAACUGCUUUUCUCUGUCUUGUCACGCCCCACAAAUUGUUCUGUCUGUCCUCUUCUGGUGCUUGCCCUGUUUUGGCAGAGGGUCUGCAAGGUGUCAGCCUCUAUGGGACAGUGUGUGCAACAUCAUGAGGGCCAGGCUGUGACACCCUGGACAGUGACCAGUCAGCAAAGGUGGAUCCCAGGUCAUACAUGCUUCAGAGACAACAAAGAAUGAGUUGGCAAAGUUAGGUGGCAUUGCUGGAGCAGGCCUCUCUGUGCUCAGCCUCGUUACGAAGUGUGGACCCCUUGUGUCUUCCAAUGUCGCCUGUCCUUCUGCUUCUCAGCAUGUGACAAGGUCCUCCCCAGUGCAGCUGCCUGAUCUGGUUGUCCCCCACCAUCAGAACAAUG